AUGAAAGAACUUAGAAAUGUUAUCUUUGAUAGAAUUCAGGAUAUGGUUGUUGAGAGACUCAUAACAUCUGACUCUAUUGCUUAUGCUGCUAAGUGGGACACUCUCAUAACCUAUGUGGAUACAACUCUGCAAAAUCAAAAGACGUUCACUCAUGAGUCUGUAGCUUCUUAUAGCCAGAAGCCAGAGCACUUGGAGGCUAAAUUGGAUAAUGUAUAUGCUAAUAAAUAG